AGAGUUUGAUCCUGGCUCAGAUUGAACGCUGGCGGCAUGCCUUACACAUGCAAGUCGAACGGCAGCGCGGGAGCAAUCCUGGCGGCGAGUGGCGAACGGGUGAGUAAUAUAUCGGAACGUGCCUUAGAGUGGGGGAUAACUAGUCGAAAGACUAGCUAAUACCGCAUACGACCUACGGGUGAAAGUGGGGGAUCGCAAGACCUCAUGCUCUUAGAGCGGCCGAUAUCUGAUUAGCUAGUUGGUGGGGUAAAAGCCUACCAAGGCGACGAUCAGUAGCUGGUCUGAGAGGACGACCAGCCACACUGGGACUGAGACACGGCCCAGACUCCUACGGGAGGCAGCAGUGGGGAAUUUUGGACAAUGGGGGCAACCCUGAUCCAGCAAUGCCGCGUGUGUGAAGAAGGCCUUCGGGUUGUAAAGCACUUUUGUUCGGAAAGAAAUCGCUCUGGCUAAUAUCCGGAGUGGAUGACGGUACCGAAGAA
rnacentral:rRNA from 1 species